UGGGGGCUUGGGGCCGCCGGUUUGGGAGAGCACCCUUGGGCCCUGUCCGGGAGCCACUUGGUGGAGCGGCCUGGUUCCAAUGCGUCGCUCCUCGCCCGCUCCUAGAACGAGCUGGGGGCGGAGGGACCAUUUCAACAUCAGGUUCAAGGCGUCCUUCCAUCCCCCACCGCCUGCCGCCCCCUGUCGCUUUUCUCCGGCUUCCUUCUCGAGAUCUGCGAGAUGCAAGAGAGAAUUUUUUAUUCGGGUUUUGCCAAAUGAGAACUAGAGCUACCAGUCCACCCUCCCAGCUCCUUCCGAAGUCAGGUUGAAAAGAAAACACAGAUAAACAAGAAGAUAAAAAUCACCCGUAUUCCUGCCACCCGAAGCUAACCACAGUUAAUACUUUGGUGAAGACUCAGAUUUUUCUAUGAGUGUAUAUGCAUGUAUUUUAUUAAAAACAUUCUUACCAUGCUUUAAGAAAGCAGAUGAAAUUUCA